rnacentral:rRNA from 1 species
AUUGAACGCUGGCGGUAUGCCUUACACAUGCAAGUCGAACGGCAGCACGGGUGCUUGCACCUGGUGGCGAGUGGCGAACGGGUGAGUAAUACAUCGGAACAUGUCCUGUAGUGGGGGAUAGCCCGGCGAAAGCCGGAUUAAUACCGCAUACGAUCUACGGAUGAAAGCGGGGGACCUUCGGGCCUCGCGCUAUAGGGUUGGCCGAUGGCUGAUUAGCUAGUUGGUGGGGUAAAGGCCUACCAAGGCGACGAUCAGUAGCUGGUCUGAGAGGACGACCAGCCACACUGGGACUGAGACACGGCCCAGACUCCUACGGGAGGCAGCAGUGGGGAAUUUUGGACAAUGGGCGAAAGCCUGAUCCAGCAAUGCCGCGUGUGUGAAGAAGGCCUUCGGAUUGUAAAGCACUUUUGUCCGGAAAGAAAUCCUUGGCCCUAAUACGGUCGGGGGAUGACGGUACCGGAAGAAUAAGCACCGGCGAACUACG